rnacentral:rRNA from 1 species
AUUGAACGCUGGCGGCAGGCCUAACACAUGCAAGUCGAGCGGAUGAAGGGAGCUUGCUCCUGGAUUCAGCGGCGGACGGGUGAGUAAUGCCUAGGAAUCUGCCUGGUAGUGGGGGAUAACGUCCGGAAACGGGCGCUAAUACCGCAUACGUCCUGAGGGAGAAAGUGGGGGAUCUUCGGACCUCACGCUAUCAGAUGAGCCUAGGUCGGAUUAGCUAGUUGGUGGGGUAAAGGCCUACCAAGGCGACGAUCCGUAACUGGUCUGAGAGGAUGAUCAGUCACACUGGAACUGAGACACGGUCCAGACUCCUACGGGAGGCAGCAGUGGGGAAUAUUGGACAGUGGGCGAAAGCCUGAUCCAGCCAUGCCGCGUGUGUGAAGAAGGUCUUCGGAUUGUAAAGCACUUUAAGUUGGGAGGAAGGGCAGUAAGUUAAUACCUUGCUGUUUUGACCUUACCAACAGAAUAAGCACCGGCUAACUUCGUG